GACGAACGCUGGCGGCGUGCUUAACACAUGCAAGUCGAACGGAAAGGCCCUGCUUUUGUGGGGUGCUCGAGUGGCGAACGGGUGAGUAACACGUGAGUAACCUGCCCUUGACUUUGGGAUAACUUCAGGAAACUGGGGCUAAUACCGGAUAGGAGCUCCUGCUGCAUGGUGGGGGUUGGAAAGUUUCGGCGGUUGGGGAUGGACUCGCGGCUUAUCAGCUUGUUGGUGGGGUAGUGGCUUACCAAGGCUUUGACGGGUAGCCGGCCUGAGAGGGUGACCGGCCACAUUGGGACUAAGAGACGGCCCAGACUCCUACGGGAGGCAGCAGGGGGGAAUAUUGCACAAUGGGCCGAAGCCUGAUGAAGCAACGCCGCGUGCGGGAUGACGGCCUUCGGGGUGUAAACCGCUUUCGCCUGUGACGAAGCGUGAGUGACGGUAAUGGGUAAAGAAGCACCGGCUAACUACGUG
rnacentral:rRNA from 1 species